rnacentral:rRNA from 1 species
AUGGCUCCCCGCCUGCAUGGGGAUGAGGGGCCCCGCCCGAAGAGGCCGUUGGAGCGCCCUGAGUCCUCUCGCCCUCCGCGUGGCCCUCCCAUGCCGGCUAGGGACGGCGCCCGACGGGGGGCCGACAACCGCCGGCUCGCUGACCGGGAUGACUGGGCCGCUCCCCGCAGAGCUUGGGCAGCCGCUCCCUACUGGCCGCUCCCCGCUCGUGAGGGCACCCUUGAGGGCCGGCGCGACGCACGACUCCCUCUGCCUGGUUCGCAGGGGGCGCGACGCCGGGAGGAGGCUGGGCGGCUGCGUGAAGACAACCAGCGACGCGAAGAUGAACUCCACCCCGAGCUACAACGCCGGUCUGUGUACUCCGCCCCUAGCCGACCUGGUCCGGAGGUGGGUCAGAGCUCGCGCCAAGGCGCCCGGAGUUCCGUAGAUUCGGAUGACCGUGCUCGGUAUGGGUCUGAGGAGUCGGACAGUGCGGACUCGCUCAAUUGGCAUAGGUCCUUGUCCUGGUCGCCGCGGUACACCCCCCGUUGCACCUCGGAGGAGGCUCCGGGUCCAGUUGGGCCGUCGACGAAGCGGAAGAAGAAGCACUCGGGUGGGCUCAGUGGUCAGCAGGAGGCCCCGGUGAUUCCCCCGGCCAGAGCCAGUCGCGCCCGGACCCAUGAUGAGACAUUGUGCAUCAACUGUGGGUGUGCCGGUCACUUCCAUUCGGAGUGCUUGACGCCCUCCCGGUGCCCUACCACUCUUGCCUACCUGGGGUACGGGGUGGAGGGGGGUGGCUUCUACUAUGUGGACGCGACCCUGGAGGACGAACCCGUCCGGCCGCACCUAGCGACGAUCACCCUCGUGCCGGAUCAGCAGCCGCCGCCGUCGGUUGUGGUUACCGCUGAGACCAUACGGGCAGAGCUGUCAGCAUACAUUGGCGAUUAUAGAGACAGCGCCUUCUCUUGGGAAGUCACUGAGACAGCACCGAUGGUCUUCUCGGUACCCUUCCCUUCUGCUGAGAUGCUCAAUGUCUGCAGCCACGACCACAUCAAGUGCCCCAUCAACAACUUCAUGAUCUCAAUCCAGAAGGCUGAUGCUGUGCCGGACACGGUGGCCCCCCUUACCCAGGUGUGGAUGCUCAUCUACGGGCUCCCGAGUGGGGGCAAGCGCAAGCACAUUCUCAAGGCCAUCUCGGAGCCGGUGGGCAAGAUUCUGACGGUCGAUCUGGAUUCCUUGGAGGGCGAUGGCCCGGCGCGCGUCAAGCUCCUUUGUCAGGCUCCAGCUGAUGUGGACGGCCUGUCCUUAAUCUUUUACUUCGGCAAGAACAAGGGCAAGUGUAUCACCUACAAGAUCGAUCUGGAUCCACUAGAGGGGCGACCGGAGGACGAGCCGCCCGCACCAACACCGGCCCCACCCGUGGCGGGACGGGACAAUGAGGACAGCCAGUCUGAGGACAACUCCCCGAAGUCGGAUGAUGGGCUUCCGCCGACGGCGUCGACCGAGAACCGUCGCGCGCCAGCUUCGGCUGGUACGGUGGGCGCUGGACUGCCGGGUGGCUCCACCCUCGCCCUUGCUGUUGUAGCGGCAUCUUCGCUGGUUCCUGAGCUGGAGGAGGAGACCCUGAAUGCUAGGCUGGAUGUUCGCCCGCCGUCCCCGCCGCGCUCCCCUGGGGUGGUGUGCUACUCUCGCUCGCACCGACUCCCCCGUGGCCAGCCUCGGGACCCGGCCUGUACCCUCACCGGCAGUGGCAUCCAGGCAGAGCGCGCGUCUCUGCCGAUCUCGGACUCUCCCGGGCGGUUGGGUUCCUACGAUCCCGGAGAAGGUGGCCAUGUGUGCGGCGACACAUGA